CAGGGUGCAGCGGAGGCUGGUAACUUUACCCUGAGGCUGCUUUUCCUCCUGGGAACUUCCUGCUGCAUACUACCCUCUGGCCUCUCUGAGACCCCCAUGCUCAGCACCCGCCCUCCCUUCAGGGGAAGACACAAGGAAGCUGGGCAUGAUGGCCAAGUGUUAGAGGGUUACACUACUGCCUUCUGCUUCUGAUCUGAUUGAGUCACAGCUGAGAUGUGGCACCAGGACUCUUGGCUACACUCAGUUCUCUCAGUUUGACUGAGUACUCUGGGAUCACAGAAGUGACUACAUGAUGGUAAGAGUGGGGCUGAGGAAUACUCCAGUCCAGCAUUUUUCCACCCCAUGUAUGAAUGAGGGCUGUAGAGACCUAGGCUUUGUAAGUUGGCCUCGCUUGUCAACUUGAUUGGAUCUGGGAUCAACUAAGAGACAUGCCUAUGGGUGGGUUUGCAGGAAUAUUUCCUGGAAGGAUUAACAGAAGGAGAAAAACCUCCCUUCUCCUCAACACACACACACACAUACACACUGGACAGCCCCUUCCUUCCAGCAGCAGCCCAGAGGUCUGAACUCAAAGCUUCUGCCUGCCUACCUUAUCUCACUGCUGGCAAAUGCAUCCCCUCUGCUCCACCCAUCCCUGACAUUGGAACACCGGAGUCCAGGUUCUUUGGACUGAAAACCCACAGCUCUCCAGGAAUCCUCUAAGCCUUCAGCGCCAUGUUGGGACUGUUAAGGCACCCAGCUUCAUGAACAGUGAGGUUAUGGGAUUCUAGCACGCAGUUGGCCAUUGUUGGACUACCCACACAGAAUUGUGUGAGCCAAUCUGAUAAAUUGAUAGAUCCCUCCCCCGGGUGCGUGUGUUCUACUGGUUCUGUUUCUCUAGAGACCUUGAUUAGUAUAUAAGCCAAAUACCAGAGUACAUACCAGAGUCUCCCAAGUGUCAGCUAAACAUAGACAUCUGUAACCUCAAUCAUUGCUCUAGUGACUUCUUUGGAGCAUCCUCCCUCUGUGGACAUUUUCCAACUGGACAUUGAGGCUGGCUUCCAUUGAGCUUACCACGACCUCCCUGACCCAAGCCCUUGCAGACUGGACCAUUCUCUGACCUCUUGGGUGUCUUUCCUCACCCUGCAGCAUGCUAAUGGUCCCCAAUGGUCUUCCUGAAGCUGACUCUUUGGAUUUAGCACCCCCUUUAUCCCACUGGUUACCAGCCCCACAAGGCAGUCAUGGCCUCCCA
rnacentral:lncRNA from 1 species